AUUGAACGCUGGCGGCAGGCCUAACACAUGCAAGUCGAACGAGUGGCGGACGGGUGAGUAAUGUCUGGGAAACUGCCUGAUGGAGGGGGAUAACUACUGGAAACGAUAGCUAAUACCGCAUACCAUCAGAUGUGCCCAGAUGGGAUUAGCUUGUUGGUGGGGUAACGGCUCACCAAGGAGACGAUCCCUAGCUGGUCUGAGAGGGUGACCACCCACACUGUAACUGGACGACGGUCCAGCCUCCCACGGAAGGCAGCAGUGGGGAAUAUUGCACAGUGGGCGCAAGCCUGAUGCAGCCAUGCCGCGUGUAUGAAGAAGGCCUUCGGGUUGUAAAGUACUUUCAGCGGGGGGGCGUUACCCGCAGAAGAAGCACCGGCUAACUCCGUGCCAGCAGCCGCGGUAAUAC
rnacentral:rRNA from 1 species